UACAGAGGGGGCGAGCGUUAUUCGGAAUUAUUGGGCGUAAAGGGCGCGUAGGCGGCCUUUCAAGUGACGGGUGAAAUCCCUCGGCUUAACCGAGGAACUGCCUGUCAGACUGGAAGGCUUGAGACCGGGAGAGGUGAGUGGAAUUCCCAGUGUAGCGGUGAAAUGCGUAGAUAUUGGGAGGAACACCAGUGGCGAAGGCGGCUCACUGGACCGGAACUGACGCUGAGGCGCGAAAGCGUGGGGAGCAAAGCAGG
rnacentral:rRNA from 1 species